CCUACGGGUGACAGCAGUGGGGAAUAGUGGGCAAUGGGCGCAAGCCUGACCCAGCAACGCCGCGUGAAGGAAGAAGGCUUUCGGGUGGUAAACUUCGGUUAAGAGGGAAGAGCAGAAGACGGUACCUCUUGAAUAAGCCACGGCUAACUACGGGCCAGCAGCCGCGGUAAUACGUAGGUGGCACGCGGUGUCCGGAUUUACUGGGUGGAAAGGGCGGGCAGCCGGGAAGACAAGUCAGAUGUGAAAUCCCGCGGCUCAACCGCGGAACGGCCUUUGAAACUGUUUUUCUUGAGUACCGGAGAGGUCAUCGGCCUUCCUUGUGUAGCGGUUAAAUGCGUAGCUAUCAG
rnacentral:rRNA from 1 species